rnacentral:rRNA from 1 species
UACGUAGGGGGCGAGCGUUGUCCGGAUUCACUGGGCGUAAAGCGCGCGUAGGCGGCUCGUUAAGUCGGAUGUGAAAUCUCGGGGCUUAACUCCGAACCUGCAUUCGAUACUGCCGUGCUUGAGGACUGGAGAGGAGACUGGAAUUUACGGUGUAGCGGUGAAAUGCGUAGAUAUCGUAAGGAAGACCAGUGGCGAAGGCGGGUCUCUGGACAGUUCCUGACGCUGAGGCACGAAGGCCAGGGGAGCAAACGGG